GGACCACAGACGCAGAUGUGACAGUGAAGGUGUCCUCAUCUUUCUCUGCCUUCUCGAGACCCAUGGAGACCUCAACGCUUCCGUCCACCGCUGCCUCCACCAGCGCAACCACCACUCCCUUCAGCCCCGAAACAGGAACCUCCACCCCAGAGAAGAGGUCCAGCACACCACUGCACGCCUUCACAGCCAGCACUGCGACUACUUGCAACAGCAGCCCCGCAGCCUCUAAUGUCACCUCACCGGCUGAGAGCACGACCCACAGCUCUGCCAGUUUGCCUGCUGGCACCACCACGGUCCAGAUAGUCCCCAUCACCACAGGAAGGGGGACCACCACUGAUGCCCGGUCUCCAACCACUGCAGCCGUGACGUCCACUCGUGUCGAGAUGACAGUCAGCACGUCCAUGGGGACCAGCACGGCUUCGGGUGUCAGUUUGACCAGAGGCGACACAAGCACGGUGCCUCCCUCCACCUCCUCUGUUCUUUCUUCCACCAUGGAGGGCACCACGCUUGCCACGAGCACCUACGAAGGGCCAACCACAACCACGCUGCUUCGCAGCACAUCCCAGGAGACCAGCAGUGCGUCUCCCUCUACGACCACUCCUCCUAUCACGACAGAAGAGACAAUCACUUCAGCUGGGUCCUCAGCAUCGCUGGAGGACACCACAACUGUCUCCAUCACCAGCACAGUGGUCUCAGAGAGCACCCCCACUGCCACCCAGUCGGAGACUACAGCUGGGACCACCCCUGAUAUCUCCACCCCGACCUCAGGGACAGCCCCGGACACCACAACAGUGCCUCAAACCUCAAGUGCAGCGUCAAAGUCGUCUUCCCCUGCCACUGACUCAACCCAGAGUUCAGAGGUUACCAUCAGCACCACUGCAGACCAGCCAACGACACCGCUUGUCUGCCCCAGUGCCGCGACAAACACCAGUGAGUGUAGCCCCUUCUUGCCUCCUGGGACCCCAAACCCUUCUCCAGCUGGGCUGAUAGAGUGGUGUGUCCCCCGCUGUGCCAUGGGCAUUGCCAUUGCCUCAGCACUGCAGUAGCCUUUGGGCUUCCCAGAGGCUAGUGCAGAGGUCCCCAGGCUGGCCUGCAGAGCUGGGAAAAGCUGCCUACUCCGGGGAGCCCAGUGCUUUUGCUGUGCUCUUGAUACAGAGAUGUUGACAGUCUGUGAGAUGUGUGGUGGUCCCUUGGGAACACACAAGAUGGGCACCAGCCUGCAACUCAGGUCUGAAAAGAUCUGCCAACGCUGAACCAGGGAAGGGAGACACCUUCUGUAUCCCCUCCCUCUGCACGCAUAUCUCAGGCUCUCUCCUGCUGCCAGCGGAGACGGACAAAAGAGCAAUGCCUGUUUUCCCAGCUGUGUUGUAGGUGGAGAGCAGCAGCCCUGUUUUCUGUACACAAAGAGGCUUAUUCACCUGCCAGUGUGUGGGGGGGGGGGGUGGGGGGGGGGGGGGGUCCAUGACAUGACCAACCUGUAGUCUGAGAGAAGGUCCUGUGCAUCCCAGUGACAUUACUGGAUUAGGGAGCUGGCAUGCUUCCUUACCGCCCUCUGCUCUCUCCUAUGCUUUGUUGCAUAGCCUUGGGCAAGCCAUUUAAUCUCUCUGUACUUCCCUGUACAAUAUGGACGGUAAGAAAUCCCAGGUGGGGACAGGGACUGUUUCCUAUGAGCUGACACAGCUCUGGAUGCAGGGUGCUGCAAUCCCAGGGAGAGAGCUCCAGCUCCUGCCACAAUGCAACUGAAGGGUCAGUAGGGAUAACAAAAGCCAUGUUUUCUGUUCCUAGGUGCAUCUCACCUCUUUCUGUCAAUGCGCCUAACUUUUCCCCUGGACCUUGAAAACUCCAUGGCUCAGGAGCUGAUUUUGUCCAAGGUGAGGCCUCCUAGAAGUGCACUGGAGAGGGGGUGACAGUUUGCGUGUGCCAGCCAAGGUCUGGUAAACUGGGGAAGGAGUCAGACAGCCAGAGCAGA
ensembl:lncRNA cell wall protein DAN4-like